rnacentral:rRNA from 1 species
GACGAACGCUGGCGGCGUGCCUAAUACGUGCAAGUCGAACGCUGAAGGAGGAGCUUGCUUCUCUGGAUGAGUUGCGAACGGGUGAGUAACACGUAGGUAACCUGCCUGGUAGCGGGGGAUAACUCUUGGAAACGAUAGCUAAUACCGCAUAAUAGUAGAUGUUGCAUGACAUUUUCUUAAAAGGUGCAAUUGCAUCACUACCAGAUGGACCUGCGUUGUCUUAGCUAGUUGGUGAGGUAACGGCUCACCAAGGCGACGAUACAUAGCCGACCUGGGGGGGGGAUUGGCCGACCUGGGACCGGGACCCGGGCCAGACCUCCACGGGGGGCAGCCGUAGGGAAUCUUCGGCAAUUGACGGAAGUCUGACCGAGCAACGCCGCGUGAGUGAAGAAGGUUUUCGGGUCGUAAAGAUCUGUUGUAAGAGAAGAACGAGUGUGGGAGUGGAAAGUUCACACUGUGACGGUAGCUUAUCAGAAAGGGACGGCUAACUACGUG